AACCGCAUUCCUUCUCAUCGGAAGAACUCUUUGUCGUAAGAGAACUUCUUGGUGCAGCCAUGUUUGGCAUUUGUGGAAGCAGUCAUUGUGACAUGCCCAAAUGCCAACAUGAUUGCAGCGAGAAGUUCUCUUAUGGCAAAGAUUUAGUCCAUGAGAAAGAAUGUGGUUUUGCUUUUGUUAUUGAAAUUAUUGUAACUACACCAACAUGUACAAAACUUCACUACAAUGCUAACCAUAAAGCUAAUGACUCAUGGUUCAGGUGUUGCCAUUAC